rnacentral:lncRNA from 1 species
GGCACCUCUAAUCUAGCUUCUAUCUCUCUGGAUACAUCAUAUAAACAGCCUCAUGUGAUAUGUGGCUUUUUGUGGCUGGAUUUUCUCACUUAGCAUAAUGUGUUACAGUACUUGUUAAUGUGAAAUUUUCAGUUUUGAUCAUUAUUCUCACCUACGUAGAUUAAUCUGGCCACCAUGCCUGUGAAGAGAUACCAUGGCUGAAUUGCCACCCUGGCGCUGGCUCGGUGGUUGGGAUAAGCUCCUCUGUUCCUCAUCAGGGGAGCUCAGAGAUGUGCCAAGAUCUUAUCCCAGUCCCCGGUGUCUGCUGGCUUUCAUCUAGUAUAGUUCUGCCGGAAUCACACAGAACAUCUCUCCUCUCCACUGACUAAUUGAAAAGCCUGAAUUAUUUUCAGAAAGAGGUUCCAGCUCAUAGGAGAAAAAGGUGUGUUUCAUGGACAGAGCACCCUGUCUGUUUGGAAGCGGCAUUGUUUUCGUUGGCUGUGGUACCAAGCAAGAGAGCCGCCCAGUCCUACAACUGAUUCUCUGAUAAUGUAAACGACAGCCAUAUACCAGAACCUACCCUGUUCAGUUGGACUCGUCUCUGUCCUAUGCCCAAGCCAAGAAACAGAAGAGUCAAUCUUAUCUGCAGGAGACACAAGAACAUUUCAAAAAAAGGGCUUCCUGGUGUUCUCAAUAAAGCAGGCAUGCACGGCUCCUGGAAGAGGGAGAAGAGGCUCAUCUGGAAAGAUCAAAGACAAGGAGGAGAUGCAAAAGCCACCGCCUGAGAAGCAGGCCAAGGGGUAAACCAGAAGCCAAGCAAGGCUAAUUUUGAAAAAACUACAGCAGUGCAAAUUAAAAUACACACGGCAGGAUUAAGGGUAAUUUUCAUUUUAUUAUUCAUGGUUUUCUGAAUUAGCUCGGUUUUUUAAAGUAACGAUUCUUUCAUAAAUAGGAAAACUAAGGGUAAUUAAUAAAGCUACUGCAUUUUAAUUAUAAAAGCA